UCUCUGAUAGUAUAUUGGCUAGUACACCCGCCUGUCACACUAUUCCAGUGUUCGGGUGUGCGCGGGAGAGCUGGGUUCAAUUCCCAGUCAGAGAG